CUGAAGUGCUUUGUAUUUGACAUACUGCAUUUGGUAUUCCUUUGAGAUUUCUUAGUGGCAAUGUCAAGUUAGCAAAUGAAUUUACUGGUCUAGCACUUAGUGGAGGAGUCUAGGUCUAAGCUAUGAAGUUUCUAACAGCUAGAUGGGAAAAACAAAAAUGGUUAAAAAAUAUGGCCAACAAAGUAGGUGGAAGUCCAGUCUCUGAAAACAAAGUAUCAACUCACUCUGCCUAG
rnacentral:lncRNA from 12 species